AGGCUGAUGGCGACCGGCGCACGGGUGAGUAACACGUAUCCAACCUGCCGUCUACUCUUGGCCAGCCUUCUGAAAGGAAGAUUAAUCCAGGAUGGGAUCAUGAGUUCACAUGUCCGCAUGAUUAAAGGUAUUUUCCGGUAGACGAUGGGGAUGCGUUCCAUUAGAUAGUAGGCGGGGUAACGGCCCACCUAGUCAACGAUGGAUAGGGGUUCUGAGAGGAAGGUCCCCCACAUUGGAACUGAGACACGGUCCAAACUCCUACGGGAGGCAGCAGUGAGGAAUAUUGGUCAAUGGGCGAUGGCCUGAACCAGCCAAGUAGCGUGAAGGAUGACUGCCCUAUGGGUUGUAAACUCCUUUUAUAAAGGAAUAAAGUCGGGUAUGCAUACCCGUUUGCAUGUACUUUAUGAAUAAGGAUCGGCUAACUCCGUGCCAGCAGCCGCGGUAAUACGGAGGAUCCGAGCGUUAUCCGGAUUUAUUGGGUUUAAAGGGAGCGUAGAUGGAUGUUUAAGUCAGUUGUGAAAGUUUGCGGCUCAACCGUAAAAUUGCAGUUGAUACUGGAUGUCUUGAGUGCAGUUGAGGCAGGCGGAAUUCGUGGUGUAGCGGUGAAAUGCUUAGAUAUCACGAAGAACUCCGAUUGCGAAGGCAGCCUGCUAAGCUGCAACUGACAUUGAGGCUCGAAAGUGUGGGUAUCAAACAGG
rnacentral:rRNA from 1 species